CGCUGGGGUUUUCUGGUACCCCACAGGUGGGGGGCUUGGGCGGUCGCCUUGGGGCGGGGCCUUUAGGUAUCCCGGACGACAGGACCUUUGGCGAUCUUCUCGUCUUGCACUGUGACCAGGCUGCCUUUCCACAUGAGAUGGCAGAAUGACUGCUUACAAGUUCAAAUCAUAUCCUUACCAGCAGAGAGUUUCUUUUCCACAACGCUACCAACAAAAGUCUCAGGACUGCAUCUUGUUGGUCUAACUUGGGUUAUUUGUGUAUCAUUAAGCCACUCUCUUCAGAAGGGGCAUGGAAUAUUCUGACAGCGCAGACCUGGGUCACAUGCUAACUUCUGGAGCUAAGGUGUGGUCAGCAGCUCUUAAAUCUCAUGGACUGAGAAUUGGAGAAAGAUGCCUUCCUUGAAGUCAGUACUUUAAAAAGUCCUUAUUAUGUUUGUGCCAUGGAAUUAAUUGAAGUGGUAAAAGAGCUCCGUGUCACACUCAAGUGUUGCUGGUGGAAUGUAAAAGGAGACAGCUGACUGUGGGAAACUAUUUGCCAGUUUUUCAAGGGUUUCUUUUUGAGGUGGUGAAAAUAUUCUAAAAUUGGUGGUGGUGAUGGUUGCAAUAUCCAUGGAUAUACUAAAAACCACUGAAUCGCACAAUCUAGAUGAGCAACCUGUGCGUUUCCUCUGGAUAUAUGCCCAGGAGUGGAAUUGCUGGAUCACAGGGCAUGUAAGACACAAUACAGAAGUGGUUAAGACGCAAUAGAGAAGUGGUUAUCACAGGAAACAGACGUCGGUUUUGAAGUCAAGGUACUAAAUCAGUAUUAAGCACAAUCCAUAAAGGUUAAUGAUCUAUCAACACUGGUCUAUUAACACUGUUAUCUUGCCUCUUGGUUCCAGGUUGCCUAAGAAAGCUGUUAAGUGUAGUUCUAGUGAGUAAUCACUGGAUGGAGAAAUGCCAUAAACCCUAUGGGGAUUAUUCGGCCUGCCAAAUGAACCCCCAAGAGGAACCAGGAACGGUAAUUUCGACUUCCCAGCAGGGGUGUGUCGGGCUUUUAGCAAACCAUUCCUCUCAGUUAUCAGGCUUUCAAGGUGUGUGAUAUUUGGAUUACCUGCCCCAGAAUCACAUGUGCUGUCAGUUAAGAAUGCAGACUCUUGGGCCUGGUCCCAGUCCCACUUAAUCAGUGUGUCUGUGGUUGGGGUGUAGGAAUCUGCAUUUUAAAUAAACUCUCUAAGGGAGCUUUAUUUUCAUGAGAGUUUGCAAAGCUUUAUCUGCCAUUCUCAAUAGUACACAGUCAGUCUAGGGGAAGACGUUUGUGUAUGCAGCCGGCCAGACACAGCAGCCCCAUUUCUGAGAAGGCUUACUUCUCCCAGAUAUAUGUGCUCAGGAAUGAGGACCCAAAGAGUCUACCGACACCAAGGAAGUUAAUCAAUGACUCAGGUUUGGUUUGUCGAUGUAGAAAGGAGAGGACGGAGGAGAGUGAGCGAGGCUGUCUCUGAAAUGAGCACCCCUGGUUCUCCCAGAGGGAACCAGAUGUGCAGGAAAAUACACAGGAAACAGCCAGGUUGCCUGUCUGUCCUUUUAUAAGUGAUGCAAUCACCUUUUGCAAAAUGAAAAGGGAUUUUUCUUCCUUUAUGGGCGGAAGUCUCAUCACCCCUGCUCCUGUCUUUCUUCUUCUUCCGCUUCUCUUAGGUCUCAGUUUCUUUGGUUGGGGGAUUGGGGAGGAAAGCAAUCAUGUAGUUCACAGAACCAAAACCAAAUUAGUUUUCAGGGUAGAUCCAGUACAAAGACAUCAAGCACAUGUUCGCUGGAAAUGCACAAUCAGAAAGCGGAUGUGCACGUCUAACAGGCGAGUGACAGAAUGUUACACCCAGGGCUGGCUCACCAUGCCAUGUGAAGGUGACACAAGUGUUAUCACAGGUACAGAAUCAGUGAGCCGGGUAGAGAUCAGGUCUGCACAGGAGGUGGGGGAAGACUGGACUUAGAGGUCUCCAGCCUUUCAGUGGAUUUGGAAAGUAAGAGCAGAAUCUCGGCCUUGUUUCAGUUCUGAAGAAUGUGGCCACCUUUGGUCACUGACUGGGGGAAGCUUCAGUCACCAUCCUCAAAGAUGACAAAGACUUUGCAAAACUGGUUGGGCUGAACUCCAUACCCCUCACCUAGAAUACUGCUUUCAACCCCCACCCCCAUCCUCAUCAUUUGAAAUUUCCAGGACCAGGAUAAUCUACCCUUUGCCAGAGUCAAAGGCUUUUCAAGAUCCUUGUCCAUAGAGUUCUUGGAUUAAAAAAAAAAAAAAAAAAAAGGCUUGAAAGCCAAGUUUCAGAAUUAAGGGUUGAACCACUGUCAGCACGGCUUGAGCAGCUAUAAAUGGAGGGCAGGUGAGUCUCCUUCGAGGCAGGCUCAUUCCUUCUUGGUGUGUUCCAGGACUCGGUAGGGAACCCCGGAGGCGCUUCUGGAGCCGUGUUCUUCCUGCAUGACGGGCAGUGUGGCAGGAGCGUAGAUCUCAGAAAUGUUGUCAUUGUUUUCCAGGGCCCCGUAGGAGAAAGAAGCUUUGAGGUCGGGCUGCACUGUCAUCCCCUUGUCAUGCAUGGUUUGCAUACCUGAAAUGAAAUCCAUUCCCCUCCUCAGUCAUGAUGUGGUCAGGGGGCCAAAGGAGACCGUAGCUUCCUCUAUCCCGCCACAGACUAAUUACCGUGCUCAGGAGCUAAUCAUGGUCAUUGUCAAUUUCCUGAAUGCUUUAGAUUGAAAAAAGAGCCCCAUAAAUAUACAUUAGAAAUAUAAUGGUUGCUAAGCAACAAAGGAUGAACCUUCAGGAAAUAUGCACACAGACCAGCCACUGUCAAGAGAAAACACCCGUUGGCUCAGAACAAGGUGGGAAUGUCUGGGCCAUAGGGGGAGCGGAACCAGCACUGUGGCUGAACGUGGUAGAUGCCAGUGCUUUUCUGCUGAAUGAAAUCAGGAUCCAGAAAACUUCAUUAUACUGUUGAGAAGAGAGAGUAACUAUUGUGUCACGAAUAUGUGAUGGUGACACCGUGUAUUUGUAAAAUGCUCAGAGGGAGAGUUCUGACCUUUAACCCUAACAUCCCUGAUCCACAUACGGCGUAGGGUGCGGUUUUGCUUAUUCUGUGCAUACUCAUGUUGGAUUUCUACCUACAUUUGAGGGCAAAGACUUUAGUCAGUUAUUUCUGUAAACGUAUUCUACAAUUCCCCUAACCAGGUGGGAUGUGGUCUCCUCUGAGGCCAAUUCUUUUCCUGGUAGGGAAUUAAGAUCCUUCAAAUUCUCUUAGCCCUUGGCUGAGUCAUAAGAAAUUGAAUGCAAAGUAUCUUCCAUGAAACUAUGGUGAUAGUAACAGCUGACAUCUGACUGCUUCAUAUGCCCUAGGCACUGGGCUGAGUGCUUUAAACAGUAAUAGUAACAACAGUAGCAGUAAUGAUGAUGGCUGAUGAGCACUGAAUGUUUAGUUGGUGGCAGACACUAGUCUAAAUCGUUAUAAAGUUUUAUCUCAUGUGAUUCUCACAACUACUAAUUAGGAAAAUGAGGCAGCUGGUGGUUAAGGAACUUGCUUGAGGUCACCAAGCUAAGUGGCAGUGCCAGGGUUCAAACUCAGGUGGUUUAAAUUCUGAAGCCCACACUCUUAACCAGAAUGCUGUGUGUACUCUCUAUACACCUGCACUUAAUCCUCAAAAAUCCUAUGACAGAAGUAUGCUACUAUCCUCCUUUUCUGGAUAAGAACACAGAGAUUCAGAGAGGUAAAGUAAACUUGUCACACAGCUAAUGAGAGACAGAGCUGGGAUUUGAUAGCAAAGCCUGUGCUCUCAUUCCACUCUGCAAGCGGCUUGGGGAGACCCAGUCUGUGGAAGGCCCUUUGCUUCCACUUUGCACAGGUGGGAAUUUGAAGGGUACAGUUUAAGAGUUUGUCGUUUGGAUUGUGGGGGAGGCAGAUUGGGAGAAGAUGAGGGGUUGCCUAUAUCUCAGGGAAGAGAGUUGGCUUACCAGGCACAGUUUAAUUUUAUCAGUGGUCUCUAGCCAAAACUCACCAGGAAUACACCCACAGUCUAACAAAUUUGGGUUUCUUGACGCAUUGCGAUGAAGGAGAUGUUCACCAUAAGCACUGUGGAGUGUUUCAGUACGCGGGUAUCAGAAAGGACUUACUGCAAGAUUUGGCUUGUGUUAGGUGAUUCAGGGAGGGUUGAAGGAAGCAGGGCUUUGCUUUGGAUGGCUGCUGUCAGGAAGUGGGGAUAGUCCUAUAACGGGAUCCUAAUGAUUCUUACCUAGAAGGAAAGAAGACUAGCUGGACACUAACGCUGCGAUUGGUCAGGAAGCAGCAGUCACUCAUGUUAGGGGGAUGGCUGCUCUUUUUUUGUGGUUUGGACAAUGUUCAUGUUCUGCCUGUGUUUGGACAUGAUAACGGAGUGGUCCUGUUUGCGUCUUGAUCCAUCACAGUCACACGGUGACUUUGUCUGAUGAUGUUUUGUGAAGUGCUCUGUGGUCAGCCACGAACACCAAGGCCCAGCUGUGGGAGCCAGGCCAGCUCCCAGCCUUCAGGGACUGCUUUUCUCCUUCUCAUUUUCUAGAAGUCUUUUGGAUGCUAAAAGGCUUAUUUAAAGCUUCUCCCAAUUGUGACACAGAGUGGAUUUUUGGAAUUUGUUGCUUCUUGAACCAUGGCUACUGGUCAGUUGUGAAGAUACUAUUCUAGGUAGACCAAGAGCAAGGUCCUGAUGCCAAACAGGGAAACCAGCUGAAAAGCAACUCUGUGUAAGCAGUUUUCUUCAUAUGUUCUACCUGCCAUCAGGUCAAACAAGUGCUUGAAAUCGUCAAAGUUUUUUUUUUAAAGCAAAAGGCAAAUGAAACCAAAUGCAACCAGGCAUCUACCAGGUCCCAGACACUGUGCGAGGGGGUCUUUAACCUAUCAUCCCACAACCCUGGGAAAAGGAACCCCAAUUUACAAGUGAGGGCAGAGGCCUUGGGGGGUCCAGGUGCCCAAGGUCGCUCAGCAGGUAGGUGGUGGAGCCGGGAUUUGAAUCCAGGUCAUCUGAACUCCAAGCCCAUGCUCCUCUUCAUAGUACGAACCCAUGUCUACUCAGAAAUCCUGAUACGCCACAGCAAGAGGGCAGGGUCUCCUUUCUCCAAAGUCCGACUUCCCACCAAUCACAAGGCACAAAGAAGAAGCGAGAGCCACAUCCACAAACAGACCACGGAACACUGAUGUGUAAGAUUACCUUAGGUUACCUUCUACCUUCUACCAGAAAAUACAUCUCUAUAUAUGCAUAUGCAAAUAUUCAUAUAGACGUAUGCACAUACACAGUUGAUAAACACACAAACACACGUGUACAUACACAUACUUGCCCACACAGAGUUGACACCUCACCUAUCUGGAAUUCAGCUAUCCAGCGCCCUCAUCUAUCCGGAACACAGCCGAGAAACAAGGAAGUAAGCAAAAAAGGCAUCUGAGCAGCCAGAUUAGAUGUUUACAAAGUCCAUGCACUAAAUAAAGCUCAUGCACUUAACUCCUGGGAGAAACCUUAAGGCCCCAAUUCGGAGCUUAUUUAUAUUAAUUUUCUACACGAUUCGAACAACUUGGGUCAAAUGAGAAGAUUGACACGGAGCCGCUAUACGCAGGUCACAGCACGAAUGACAGACAACAAACAGCUUAAUAGCAAGAGAUGAGGAAAUAAUAUAAAAAGUGGACACACAAACCCUGGGGCCACUUAGAGCAGGGGCACCUCAGUCAGCCCUGAGAACACGCCUGCCUCCCAGAGUACUUUAUUAAGCAGUGUUAAGUAUUAAGCAGUACUUUGCACCAGCACUGUGACUGCUGUCUUAGUGAAGGCUGGGAGAUGAUGUUUUGGAGAGAGUUCCAUCUUGUGUAGCUAAAAUAAAAAUUAAUUUUGAGUUGAAGAAUGAAAGCUAGUGGUCGCUAGCACCCUAUAAUAGAAUUUAGGUCGGCAACCCUAGAUGGGGCUGGCCCAGGGUCUUAACUUUUCUAAUCUGAAUCCCUUGAGGCUGGGCAGGGAGCCUCCAGUUCUCCACAAGCCCCACCACUCCCUCUGGUGCAGUCCUCGGCUGAUUGGCACAUUUAUGUUCCUGCCGUUUGAACCUGUGCUUCUCAGGGUGAACCCUUAGCUCCCUGGGGAAUUAUUUCCAGAACAAUCCACUCCCUUGUGGAAUCUAAGGGGUGAGGUUACAGUAUUUGAACUUCACUCAUCCUGCCUUCCUUCCCCUCUCUGAUCAUUCCAUUCCGCUUAGAUGAAUGGGUUUUUUUCCCUUUGCAGGCAGGAAGCCUGGUGCUGCAGAUCAUAAUUAUAUGCAGUGUGAUUUCGGACUGUCUUUAAAAGAUCCCCAAACAGACAUGAGAACUGGCAAGAUGUGCUCAAAACCAACUGAGGUGCCUCAGCCAUUGCCUCCUCUUCUCCAAACUGAGAUUAAACAAAAAACCAAAAAAAAUUAGAGAGAGAGAGAGAGUCACACCAUAACGGCACAGCAUGCCAUCCCUGUACCAAACCCAGAGGCUGCUUGCCUCCUGAAGCAGGAAGCAGCAGUCAUUCUAUAGGGAUGGGCUGGCCAGUUGGAGACGUGGGGUUUGACGUUACCUGGCAUGGCAUCCAUGGAGAUAUAGGGCUCGAAGGGAAUGGCCCGCUUCCUGUUACGUGUGAUUAAGAAGACGCCCAAGAAUGCGAUGAGGCACCUGAGGGGCACAAGCAAGGGAGGAAGAGAGGGAAGGCCAGAGUGAGGUUGGGAGGGAUACUUUCAAACCUGGGUAAUGGGGAAAAAAGGGAAAAGAGGGUUGCAGGCUGUAGAGGAGGCUUGCUGCUGGGCGGCCCUGAGAUCAGCAGGGAGCAGACACCAGAUGAAUGUCAGCCAAUGCGGCCCACACGAGCCUCAGUCAGGACAAAUUAGGCUCUCUUGGGCAAAACCCUCACUGUUCUUCUUCCCCACUUACCCUGUAUCUCAACCUUACCUUUCAAAAAAAAAUGUUUUUAAUUUAAAAAGUUUUUUAUGGCCUAAAUUCAAUCAAUACAGGAGCAGAGAAAGCAAAAAUUGGAAAGCCCCUGUACUCCCCUAGUCCCUUCCGCCACCCCCAAUAGAUGUGUAUUCUUCCAGAGUCUGUUUUGUUUUUUUCUUUUCCCUAGAGCUUGGAUAAACAAGCGCACUUUCUAAACAUUGGGGUAUAAUUUACAUGCAAGAAAAUGCGCAGUCCCUAGACAUGGAGCUCAAUGAAUUUCACUUGUGUACACACUCGUGUGAUCACCACCCAGGCCAAGAGGGAAGACAUUUCCAUCCCCUCCACCCCAGAAAGUUUCCUUGUGCCCCCUCCCAAUUGAUGCUAACCCUUCCCCAGAGGAAACCAGUGUUCCAACUUCCACAGAUUGGAUUUGCCUGUUCUUGAACUGCUUGUAAGUUCAGUCUUACAGUGUGUACUCUUUUAUGUCUGGUUUCUUUCACCCAAUAAAUGUUUUCAAGAUUCAUCUA